rnacentral:rRNA from 1 species
UGGCGAACGGGUGAGUAACACGUGGGUAACCUGCCCAUCAGAAGGGGAUAACACUUGGAAACAGGUGCUAAUACCGUAUAACACUAUUUUCCGCAUGGAAGAAAGUUGAAAGGCGCUUUUGCGUCACUGAUGGAUGGACCCGCGGUGCAUUAGCUAGUUGGUGAGGUAACGGCUCACCAAGGCAACGAUGCAUAGCCGACCUGAGAGGGUGAUCGGCCACGCUGGGACUGAGACACGGCCCAGACUCCUACGGGAGGCAGCAGUAGGGAAUCUUCGGCAAUGGACGAAAGUCUGACCGAGCAAACGCCGCGUGAGUGAAGAAGGUUUUCGGAUCGUAAAAACUUCUGU